rnacentral:rRNA from 1 species
UACGGGGGGGGGCAAGCGUUGUUCGGAAUUACUGGGCGUAAAGGGCUCGUAGGCGGCCAACUAAGUCAGACGUGAAAUCCCUCGGCUUAACCGGGGAACUGCGUCUGAUACUGGUUGGCUUGAAUCCGGGAGAGGGAUGUGGAAUUCCAGGUGUAGCGGUGAAAUGCGUAGAUAUCUGGAGGAACACCGGUGGCGAAGGCGGCAUCCUGGACCGGUCCUGACACUCAGGAGCGAAAGCGUGGGGAGCGAUCCGG